GUCGUGAGGCAUGCUGGAGGUAUCAGAAGUGCGAAUGCUGACAUAAGUAACGAUAAAGCGGGUGAAAAGCCCGCUCGCCGGAAGACCAAGGGUUCCUGUCCAACGUUAAUCGGGGCAGGGUGAGUCGACCCCUAAGGCGAGGCCGAAAGGCGUAGUCGAUGGGAAACAGGUUAAUAUUCCUGUACUUGGUGUUACUGCGAAGGGGGGACGGAGAAGGCUAUGUUGGCCGGGCGACGGUUGUCCCGGUUUAAGCGUGUAGGUGUGUGUUCCAGGUAAAUCCGGUUCACUUUAACACUGAGGCGUGAUGACGAGGCACUACGGUGCUGAAGCAACAAAUGCCCUGCUUCCAGGAAAAGCCUCUAAGCAUCAGGUAACAUCAAAUCGUACCCCAAACCGACACAGGUGGUCAGGUAGAGAAUACCAAGGCGCUUGAGAGAACUCGGGUGAAGGAACUAGGCAAAAUGGUGCCGUAACUUCGGGAGAAGGCACGCUGACACGUAGGUGAAGUGAUUUACUCAUGGAGCUGAAGUCAGUCGAAGAUACCAGCUGGCUGCAACUGUUUAUUAAAAACACAGCACUGUGCAAACACGAAAGUGGACGUAUACGGUGUGACGCCUGCCCGGUGCCGGAAGGUUAAUUGAUGGGGUCAGCGCAAGCGAAGCUCCUGAUCGAAGCCCCGGUAAACGGCGGCCGUAACUAUAACGGUCCUAAGGUAGCGAAAUUCCUUGUCGGGUAAGUUCCGACCUGCACGAAUGGCGUAAUGAUGGCCAGGCUGUCUCCACCCGAGACUCAGUGAAAUUGAACUCGCUGUGAAGAUGCAGUGUACCCGCGGCAAGACGGAAAGACCCCGUGAACCUUUACUAUAGCUUGACACUGAACAUUGAGCCUUGAUGUGUAGGAUAGGUGGGAGGCUUUGAAGCGUGGACGCCAGUCUGCGUGGAGCCGACCUUGAAAUACCACCCUUUAAUGUUUGAUGUUCUAACGUGGACCCGUAAUCCGGGUUGCGGACAGUGUCUGGUGGGUAGUUUGACUGGGGCGGUCUCCUCCUAAAGAGUAACGGAGGAGCACGAAGGUUGGCUAAUCCUGGUCGGACAUCAGGAGGUUAGUGCAAUGGCAUAAGCCAGCUUGACUGCGAGCGUGACGGCGCGAGCAGGUGCGAAAGCAGGUCAUAGUGAUCCGGUGGUUCUGAAUGGAAGGGCCAUCGCUCAACGGAUAAAAGGUACUCCGGGGAUAACAGGCUGAUACCGCCCAAGAGUUCAUAUCGACGGCGGUGUUUGGCACCUCGAUGUCGGCUCAUCACAUCCUGGGGCUGAAGUAGGUCCCAAGGGUAUGGCUGUUCGCCAUUUAAAGUGGUACGCGAGCUGGGUUUAGAACGUCGUGAGACAGUUCGGUCCCUAUCUGCCGUGGGCGCUGGAGAACUGAGGGGGGCUGCUCCUAGUACGAGAGGACCGGAGUGGACGCAUCACUGGUGUUCGGGUUGUCAUGCCAAUGGCACUGCCCGGUAGCUAAAUGCGGAAGAGAUAAGUGCUGAAAGCAUCUAAGCACGAAACUUGCCCCGA
rnacentral:rRNA from 1 species